rnacentral:misc_RNA from 1 species
AGUUCGAUUCUGGCUCAGAUUGAACGCUGGCGGGAUGCUUUACACAUGCAAGUCGAACGGCAGCACGGACUCUGGUCUGGUGGCGAGUGGCGAACGGGUGAGUAAUGUAUCGGAACGUGCCUAGUAGCGGGGGAUAACUACGCGAAAGCGUAGCUAAUACCGCAUACGCCCUUCGGGGAAAGCGGGGGACCUUUCUUGGCCCGCAUCAUUAGAGCGCGGCCGAUAUCGGAUUAGCUAGUUGGUGGGGUAACGGCUCACCAAGGCGACGAUCCGUAGCUGGUUUGAGAGGACGACCAGCCACACUGGGAUCGAGACACGGCCCAGACUCCUACGGGAGGCAGCAGUGGGGAAUUCUGGGACAAUGGGGAAACCCUGAUCCAGCCAUCCUGGCGUGUGCGAUGAAGGCCUUUCAAUAAAGCACUUUUGGCAGGAAAGAAACGGCACGGGAUAAUACCCCGU